rnacentral:rRNA from 2 species
ACGUGGGUAACCUGCCUGUAAGACUGGGAUAACUCCGGGAAACCGGAGCUAAUACCGGAUAGUUCCUUGAACCGCAUGGUUCAAGGAUGAAAGACGGUUUCGGCUGUCACUUACAGAUGGACCCGCGGCGCAUUAGCUAGUUGGUGAGGUAACGGCUCACCAAGGCGACGAUGCGUAGCCGACCUGAGAGGGUGAUCGGCCACACUGGGACUGAGACACGGCCCAGACUCCUACGGGAGGCAGCAGUAGGGAAUCUUCCGCAAUGGACGAAAGUCUGACGGAGCAACGCCGCGUGAGUGAUGAAGGUUUUCGGAUCGUAAAGCUCUGUUGUUAGGGAAGAACAAGUGCAAGAGUAACUGCUUGCACCUUGACGGUACCUAACCAGAAAGCCACGGCUAACUACGUGCCAGCAGCCGCGGUAAUACGUAGGUGGCAAGCGUUGUCCGGAAUUAUUGGGCGUAAAGGGCUCGCAGGCGGUUUCUUAAGUCUGAUGUGAAAGCCCCCGGCUCAACCGGGGAGGGUCAUUGGAAACUGGGAAACUUGAGUGCAGAAGAGGAGAGUGGAAUUCCACGUGUAGCGGUGAAAUGCGUAGAGAUGUGGAGGAACACCAGUGGCGAAGGCGACUCUCUGGUCUGUAACUGACGCUGAGGAGCGAAAGCGUGGGGAGCGAACAGGAUUAGAUACCCUGGUAGUCCACGCCGUAAACGAUGAGUGCUAAGUGUUAGGGGGGUUUCCGCCCCUUAGUGCUGCAGCUAACGCAUUAAGCACUCCGCCUGGGGAGUACGGUCGCAAGACUGAAACUCAAAGGAAUUGACGGGGGCCCGCACAAGCGGUGGAGCAUGUGGUUUAAUUCGAAGCAACGCGAAGAACCUUACCAGGUCUUGACAUCCUCUGACAACCCUAGAGAUAGGGCUUUCCCUUCGGGGACAGAGUGACAGGUGGUGCAUGGUUGUCGUCAGCUCGUGUCGUGAGAUGUUGGGUUAAGUCCCGCAACGAGCGCAACCCUUGAUCUUAGUUGCCAGCAUUCAGUUGGGCACUCUAAGGUGACUGCCGGUGACAAACCGGAGGAAGGUGGGGAUGACGUCAAAUCAUCAUGCCCCUUAUGACCUGGGCUACACACGUGCUACAAUGGACAGAACAAAGGGCUGCGAGACCGCAAGGUUUAGCCAAUCCCACAAAUCUGUUCUCAGUUCGGAUCGCAGUCUGCAACUCGACUGCGUGAAGCUGGAAUCGCUAGUAAUCGCGGAUCAGCAUGCCGCGGUGAAUACGUUCCC